GCCGAAAGGCGUAGGUGAUGGACAACAGGUUGAUAUUCCUGUACUACCGAUAACCGUUUGAGAGAAGGGAUGACACAGUAGGAUAAGCUAAGCACACUGUUGGUUAUGUGUGCCCAAGCAUUGAGGCAGUCAAAGUAGGCAAAUCCGCUUUGAUAAUGCUGGGAUGUGAUGGGGAGCGAAAUUUAGUAGCGAAGUAGCUGAUUUCACACUGUCAAGAAAAGUCUCUAUCGAGGUUAAAGGUACCCGUACCGCAAACCGACACAGGUGGGUGAGGAGAGUAUCCUAAGGCCAGCGAGAGAACUGUUGUUAAGGAACUCGGCAAAAUGACCCCGUAACUUAGGGAUAAGGGGUGCCACCAUCAGGUGGCCGCAGAGAAUAGGCCCAAGCGACUGUUUACCAAAAACAUAGGUUUCUGCUAAGUCGCAAGACGAUGUAUAGGAGCUGACGCCUGCCCGGUGCUGGAAGGUUAAGGGGAUCUGUUAGAGCAAUCGAAGCAGUGAACUUAAGCCCCAGUAAACGGCGGCCGUAACUAUAACGGUCCUAAGGUAGCGAAAUUCCUUGUCGGGUAAGUUCCGACCCGCACGAAAGGCGUAACGAUUUGGGCACUGUCUCAACAACAGACUCGGUGAAAUUGUAAUUCCGGUGAAGAUGCCGGAUACCUGCGACAGGACGGAAAGACCCCAUGGAGCUUUACUGUAGCUUGACAUUGGGUCUUGGUACUACAUGUACAGGAUAGGUGGGAGGCUUUGAAACCAGGACGCCAGUUUUGGCGGAGCCAUCCUUGGGAUACCACCCUUGUAGUACUGGGACUCUAACCAUAGGCCAUGAAUCUGGUCUUGGGACACUGUCAGGUGGGCAGUUUGACUGGGGCGGUCGCCUCCCAAAAGGUAACGGAGGCGCUCAAAGGUUCUCUCAGUACGGUCGGAAAUCGUACGUAGAGUGUAAAGGCAAAAGAGAGCUUGAUUGCAAGACAUACAGGUCGAGCAAGGAUGAAAAUCGGACUUAGUGAUCCGGUGGUUCUGCGUGGAAGGGCCAUCGCUCAACGGAUAAAAGCUACCCUGGGGAUAACAGGCUUAUCUCCCCCAAGAGUCCACAUCGACGGGGAGGUUUGGCACCUCGAUGUCGGCUCAUCACAUCCUGGGGCUGUAGUAGGUCCCAAGGGUUGGGCUGUUCGCCCAUUAAAGUGGUACGCGAGCUGGGUUCAGAACGUCGUGAGACAGUUCGGUCCCUAUCCGUCGCAGGCGUAGGAAAUUUGAGAAGACCUGUCCUUAGUACGAGAGGACCGGGAUGGACGUACCUCUGGUGUACCAGUUGUCCUGCCAAGGGCAUGGCUGGGUAGCUAUGUACGGAAUGGAUAAGCGCUGAAAGCAUCUAAGCGCGAAGCCAACUUCAAGAUAAGAUUUCCCACCGCAAGGGUAAGACCCCAGAAAGACUAUCUGGUUGAUAGGUCGAAGGUGUAAGUGCAGCAAUGUAUUUAGCUUAUCGAUACUAAUAGGUCGAGGACUUGACCAA
rnacentral:rRNA from 1 species